rnacentral:lncRNA from 10 species
UGGCGCCGGAUCGCGGGUCACCUCUGCUCAGGCCCCACAGACCCAGCCGUGCUCAGAAGCCGCAGCAAUCACUCACCACGUGCCCUGACCUGCCCUCUCCUUUGCCGCGGCUCCAAUUCAGGGCCCCUGACCUCAACACGGCGACCUUCGACCUUCUAAUCUCCCAGGGCCUUGCUCUGUCUCCCUCAGAGGUGACCUCCACCCUAGAAAUCCCAGCCCCCAGGCCUGCACCCCAGUCCGGAUGCCCCUAUUGAUUCUGCACCUUUCCCCACGGCCCUCAGCCCCUCCUGACCCAGCUGCCAUUGCCAUCCACCUGCACCCUGUCCACAUGGCUGUCCCCACUGUCUGCUCCACAGGGCCAGGCUGUGUGUUACCCAGGGCAAUAUCCAUGGCCACCCGGCACACAGGAGGGGCCAUGACUAUUGACUGGCUGAAUGAAAGAAUGAAUCAGCAAAUGAGUGAGAGCAGACUGGGCUGAACCCUGUGAGGAGACAGGCCGCUGUGGAGCCCCUGACACUGCUCCACAUCAGGCCUCACUCCUGAGCCAAUUAAGGAAUCAUGACCUCUACUCAAGGAGGGGCCGACAGCAGCUGGACGCAACACUUAGGAAAACGAAAAUAUUUCUACCCAUCCAUCCACCCACCCAUCCACUAACCCACUUACCCACCAUCCAUCCACCCACCCAUCCACUCACCCACCUGUCCAUCCACCCAUCCACUCACCCACUUACCCACCAUCCAUCCACCCAUUCAUCCACUCAUCUACCUAUCCACCAUCCAUCUGCCCACCAUCCAUCCACCCAUCCACUCACCCACUUGUCCACCAUCCAUCUGCCCAUCUAUCCACUCACCCACCUGUCCAGCAACCACCCAUCCACCUCCCCAUCUACCUACCCAUCCACUCACCCACCUGUCCACCAUCCACUCACCCACUUACCCACUAUCCACCCACCCAUUCAUACACUCACCCACCUGUCCACCAUCCAUCCAUCUCCCCAGCUACCUACCUAUCCACUCACCCACCUUUCCAUCCACCCACCCACCCGUCCACUCACCCGCCUGACCACCAUCCAUCCACUCACCCACCUGUCCACCAUCUACUCAUCCAUCCACCUCCCCAUCUACCUACGUAUCCACUCACCCACCUCUCCAUCCACCCAUCCAUCCAUCCACCUCCCCAUUGAUUCACCCACCCAGUCACCCACCACUCUUAGAGAUAUCCAUUCUUGUGUCUGGCACUUUGGGUGAGGGAAGGCAAAGACACAAGAUGUGGAUUUUGGCCCCAAGGAUUUUGACCUUGAGGAGGGCAAUGAGCGGCAGACACAACUGGGAAAGUUGAGGGAUGAGAGGGGCUCCCUCGUGAGGCCAGCAGCUGAGACGGAGGUACUGGGGGGCCAGCGCUGAGACAGAGGUAGUGGGGUGUCCUGCACCAGUUUCUGCAGCAGGGGCUGAUGGUGAGCCACAUGUUCAGCUCCAGGACUCCAAAGGACCACGUGUUGUUCCUCAAACAGGGGACAGCACAUACCCCCUCAUGUCCUGACCACCCACCAGUCUCAACAGAAAAAAGGCUCCUUACCGUCCCUCGUGGGAGUGGUGUCCGGGCCUCCAGCUGGAAGAAAGCAGCAGGGUCACCCAGGACCUGCGGCUGGGCCUGAGCCAGGGUGCCCUCCCAGCCCACAGGAGGGUGCCCUCCCUGCCCAGCACCUGCCCCUCCAAGCCUGUGCCAGGGUACGCUCCCUGCCCAGCACCCGGCCCUCCCAGUCCACAGCAGGGUGCCCUCCCUGCCCAGCACCCGGCCCUGCCAGCCCACAGGAGGGUGCCCUCCCUGCCCAGCACCCGGCCCUCCCAGUCCACAGCAGGUUGCCCUCCCUGCCCAGCACCCACCUCUCCCUCCCCAACACCCGGCCCUCCCAGCCCACAGGAGGGUGCCCUCCCUGCCCAGCACCCAGCCCUCCCAGUCCACGGCAGGUUGCCCUCCCUGCCCAGCACCCAGCCCUCCCAGCACGCGUUUGCUAGGAUGCCAUCCCCUGCCUCCUCCUGUCAGGACCAAAGCCCCUGAAAGUUAGGAUGGGGCUGCAUCCGGGUGCCUACAAGCACACCUGGCACACAGUGGGCACCAGCUCAGCAUCUGCUAUGAGACUGGCAGCCUCUCCCUGGCCAGAUGAAGGGACUGGAGUGGGAUUCACUGUCUGGGGUGCUGCAGGGGCUGGCCAGGCCUAGGAGGGGGCCGGUGGCGAGAGGGAGGGAGUGCUAGAGGGAAGGUGGGAGGGCUCUAGAAGGAAGGUGGGUGUGUUGGAAGGUGGGAGGGCUCCAGGAGUCAGGGCUGUGUCAGUGUGCAGUGUUCUGCCAUGGAGGCUCCCACGGAUGUCACAGGCCGUUUCGGCGGCAUGGGGCUUCUACCCGUCCUCACCUUUGCCACACGAAGGUAAACCUUCCCGGGGCCCUGCAAGCAUGGCCGCACCCACCUGGAUCAGAGCGGCCACUCCUGCCACCCAGACCAUUUUGGGAAAGCAGGAAAGGGGCUGGCCUGUCCUGGAAGGGGCAAUCCCAGGUGUGUCUGAGGAGCCAGGCUGGUGAGCAAGGCCCGUGCUAAGCAGAGAGGAUGCAUUUCAUCCCACCUUGGUGUUUAUAACGCGGGGUGCAGAGCCACGGGACAGCCUGCCCCCCAGCCGGGGCCGUGCUGUGGACGUCACGUGGCCCUGGAGGGCCUGAGCCCCCCUGCCGCCUCGUCCCGUCAGGCGCCUUGUCUUAUUAUCGGGUGUGUGAGGUGACAUUUAUCUUUGUAAACGUUCACUGUGACAUGACCCACCAGGAGCCCCUCACACGCCAUGUGUUCAUCCACUUUCAGAAGCUUGAGCUCACUUUUCUUUAAACCCAAAACUGCUCACAAAAGUAUUUUACUAAACUUU